GGCGCGGCCCCUCGGGAUCGCUCUGGUCUCGGGCUGCGCGCGUGCGCACUCUGCCUCAGGCCCUGCUGACUUCACUUAAUUGCCUUAGCUGCUGGCAGGAUUCCAACCUGGACAGGCUCCGGCCAGCGUCUGAAUGUCCAACCUGCCUCUGCUCGCUUCCCUCCCAGAGCCCAUGCAGUUCUCUUCGCUCGCUACCCAGCAUCCUGUGGGAAGCAGCCCUGGACCCCAGGAAGGUCUACAGAGAGCAGCUCUUCCUGGAAGAUGCAGAUUUCACCCUCUUUUUCCACUUUCCGUGACCCCUACGACCAAAGAAAGUUAAUUACCCCAUGCUGGAAUUACUGGUCUCUCUUCCAUGGGACUGUGAGCCUUUCCCCAGUCUGAGGUACAUGCGACAUGUUUGAUCAAGAAAUAUUUCCUGCCCCCUGGAAAAUGACAUUCUGAUUGGGGAAAAUAGAGCGUAUAAAUAAUAGGGGGAAAUUCCAAGAUGAGACUGACUGCAUUAAUUACCAUUUGUCGAUCCUUUCUCUGCCUUUGGGUGUUUGUUCUGCUUCUUCCAAGUCUCAGAGGACAAGAAUCAUCAUGUGUGUUUCACUUUCACCCACCUACCACCUGAUGCCCAGGUUGUGUCUGAAGAUGUGCACUAGGUGUGGGACAACUUGCUCUGGGCCAGAAGAGCGUUACUGACCUGUCCCUAAUACCCACAAGGAUAAAUGUUGGGUUCUCUUCUCAGAAGCUCCCAGACAGGUGAAAUCAAGUUCAAAGUCACAACAGUGAGGAGCGGUGAAGAAAGGCCUGCCCCUUGCAGCUCAGGUGGGGCGAAGACAACUCCGAAGUUCCCGGGAAGGUGGGCAGUGAGCUGGGCUGACGGCAGGUGAUGGAAGCCACCAGCCCC